rnacentral:rRNA from 1 species
GGGUUGUGAGGUUAAGCGACUAAGCGUACACGGUGGAUGCCCUGGCAGUCAGAGGCGAUGAAGGACGUGCUAAUCUGCGAUAAGCGUCGGUAAGGUGAUAUGAACCGUUAUAACCGGCGAUUUCCGAAUGGGGAAACCCAGUGUGAUUCGUCACACUAUCAUUAACUGAAUCCAUAGGUUAAUGAGGCGAACCGGGGGAACUGAAACAUCUAAGUACCCCGAGGAAAAGAAAUCAACCGAGAUUCCCCCAGUAGCGGCGAGCGAACGGGGAGCAGCCCAGAGCCUGAAUCAGUGUGUGUGUUAGUGGAAGCGUCUGGAAAGGCGUGCGAUACAGGGUGACAGCCCCGUACACAAAAAUGCACAUACUGUGAGCUCGAUGAGUAGGGCGGGACACGUGGUAUCCUGUCUGAAUAUGGGGGGACCAUCCUCCAAGGCUAAAUACUCCUGACUGACCGAUAGUGAACCAGUACCGUGAGGGAAAGGCGAAAAGAACCCCGGCGAGGGGAGUGAAAAAGAACCUGAAACCGUGUACGUACAAGCAGUGGGAGCACAGAGCAAUCUGUGUGACUGCGUACCUUUUGUAUAAUGGGUCAGCGACUUAUAUUCUGUAGCAAGGUUAACCGAAUAGGGGAGCCGAAGGGAAACCGAGUCUUAACUGGGCGUUAAGUUGCAGGGUAUAGACCCGAAACCCGGUGAUCUAGCCAUGGGCAGGUUGAAGGUUGGGUAACACUAACUGGAGGACCGAACCGACUAAUGUUGAAAAAUUAGCGGAUGACUUGUGGCUGGGGGUGAAAGGCCAAUCAAACCGGGAGAUAGCUGGUUCUCCCCGAAAGCUAUUUAGGUAGCGCCUCGUGAAUUCAUCUCCGGGGGUAGAGCACUGUUUCGGCAAGGGGGUCAUCCCGACUUACCAACCCGAUGCAAACUGCGAAUACCGGAGAAUGUUAUCACGGGAGACACACGGCGGGUGCUAACGUCCGUCGUGAAGAGGGAAACAACCCAGACCGCCAGCUAAGGUCCCAAAGUCAUGGUUAAGUGGGAAACGAUGUGGGAAGGCCCAGACAGCCAGGAUGUUGGCUUAGAAGCAGCCAUCAUUUAAAGAAAGCGUAAUAGCUCACUGGUCGAGUCGGCCUGCGCGGAAGAUGUAACGGGGCUAAACCAUGCACCGAAGCUGCGGCAGCGACACUAUGUGUUGUUGGGUAGGGGAGCGUUCUGUAAGCCUGUGAAGGUGUACUGUGAGGUAUGCUGGAGGUAUCAGAAGUGCGAAUGCUGACAUAAGUAACGAUAAAGCGGGUGAAAAGCCCGCUCGCCGGAAGACCAAGGGUUCCUGUCCAACGUUAAUCGGGGCAGGGUGAGUCGACCCCUAAGGCGAGGCCGAAAGGCGUAGUCGAUGGGAAACAGGUUAAUAUUCCUGUACUUGGUGUUACUGCGAAGGGGGGACGGAGAAGGCUAUGUUGGCCGGGCGACGGUUGUCCCGGUUUAAGCGUGUAGGCUGGUUUUCCAGGCAAAUCCGGAAAA